rnacentral:tRNA from 1 species
AGGGGAAUAGCUCAGUUGGUAGAGCAGCGGUCUCCAAAACCGCGUGCCGAGGGUUCGAGGCCUUCUUCCCCUGCCA